AGUGGUUAAGCACUUGGCUGCUAACCAAAAAAUUGGUAGUUCGAAUCCACCAACCGCUC
rnacentral:tRNA from 1 species